UUUCUCGUUCCAUUUUCUCCCUUGUCUCUUUGUUCAUCAAGCUCUGCUCUCUCUCUGUUUCUCUGGUCCCUCUUCUUCGAUAGUAUAGAUCGAUAAAAUAUUUUGAUACACAAUGGAUAUACCGUUGAUUAAUCUUUCUUGAAAAAGGUCCGGUUGAAAAGGAAGUCUUGAGGGGUUUUGCUGCUCAGAAGGUUCCUAUGGCCGCAGCUAAGAAAACCCCAGCUCCUGCAGCUGCUCGGCAGCAGCAAUCCAAGCCGGCGGCUAAGCUUCCUUCGAAGCCGCUCCCCCCAGCUCAAGCUGUGAGAGUGUAUAUGAAGAUGAGGACUUUGAUGAGACCCAGAGGCAACUAGCUGCAUUACUGGCCUCAAAGAUUCAAACAUGCUUUUCCUGUAUCUUUAAUUCUCUUCUUGCCUGUUUUAUAUAAUAAAUUGGAUGAUAGAAAUAAUCAUCUACCUUACUUUGAAGUUUAUGAUUAGAGAAACUCGAAAUCCUUCUAAACAAUAGUUUUGUUGGAAGUUUUUGUUUUAAAGCCUACUUCUACAGAGUGCUCAUCUUCUUGAUUAAUAUGUUAGCAUACAUUUUACCAGGUUAUGUAAAAUACAUCUCAAGAAGAGGAAGCAUAAGUUAUUUUUGCUUUUGUAUGCAUUCAUUAUUUAUAACAAAUCUCUGUCUCCCCUCUCAGGUCAUUUGUUAUUUGAAUGAACUAAAUCACUCAUUGUCGUAUGCCCUUGGAGCUGACCUUCUAUUCGAUGUAUCAGAAGAUUCAGAUUAUGUCCGAAGUAUUAUAGCUAAAGCUAUAGACGAAUGUCUUGACCUAAAGACCAAGGCUGCUGAGUCAAAUAAAGCAGCAAAGAUAGAUUCAAGAUCAAAACCCAUUGUUGAAAGGAUGCUUGAUAAAACUGGCUCACCAGGGCUAUAAAUUAGGCUAAGUUUAACACAACAGCACUACGAGAAACACAAGCAUUGUCUACUAUGGGGAAGGCAUAAAUCAGUUCCUGUGUGAUAGUCUAACAAGCACUAAUGCUGAGCUCUUGACAGUUUAUGGAACAGAAGAAGCAACUCAUACACUGAUUGAGCAGAUAACUUGGGAUCAAGACCCCAUACUACGUUAUGGAUAAAUGUAUGCAUUGGCAUUGGCUUACAGUAGAACUGCAAACAACAAGGCCAUUCGACAGCUGCUGCAUUUUGCUGCAUCAGAAUUGAGUGACAAUGUUAGGCACACUGCGGUUUUGGCACUGGGUUAGUUUCUCUUAUGUUCAGACUCUUCAAAUCGUCUCCCUGCUCUCUGAAUCAUAUAAUCCACAUGUUCGUCAUAGUCCAGCUCUUAUGUUUGGCAUAUCAUGUGCUGGGACUGGUCCGAGUGAGGCCAUAUCAUUGCUGGAGCCUUUGACAUCAGAUGUGCCAGCGAUUCCCCUGUUGAUGCAUUCAGAUUCAUGGUGCUGCAGAAAAGAAAUCAGAACUGGAGCUCUUUGAAUGGACUAAGCAUUUUGAACUCGUGUAACACACUCAGUUCACGACACAAGCCUGAACUAGCGUCGGUUAUUGCUUUUGUUUUUUAAUAGCAGCAUAGACAUUAUUCUUAAACUUUUAUAGCAAGAAACUCACUCUGUUGAUUUCUGCUUACACUUAAUAUCAGAGCCUAAAACUUCAUGCAAUGAAAGCAAUUGCUCAUGCUCAUUCAUUGUACGACACUUAUUGUGCUUAUAGAUUGUGUAUACAACUUCUGCAUUCCUACUAUUUUCUGUUUC